rnacentral:lncRNA from 1 species
CCAGAGACGUUUGGCAUAAAUCUGCCCAUAAGGCCUCUCACCGGGUAUCCUUUCUCCCCACGUCCUUGUUCAGGCUAGACUCCAAUAACUCCCCUUUUCUUUCAUGACCUCCUAAGCUUACUGAAUCAGGGCUCUGCAACUAAGGGGUUUUUCCUAGAUGAACCAGGUGGGCUGGAAUGGAUAGAGCCACCGCUCCGGCCCCAGCCUCUGGAUCUCAAAGGAGUGUCGCUGUCUGUGGUAGAUGUAGGAGCAGUGUAUUCAAGAAGAAACGAGCCCUUUUCACCUAAUACUCAGUAGGCUCUGCUCCAGCACCUCCACAGCCAGGAAGGGAAUGGCAAGCAUUAGAUCCGAUUCUCCAGUCUUGUUGGCCAAGCCAAAGAAAUUCCUAGUAGAGCUGUGAGGAGGCACCCGGUCGACAAUAAAGCCCGAAGCCGGUAGUGCCCAAGCCUUACCCCACUUUUAAUACAAAUCUGAGAAACCAGACCCAGGUCGAGCUCGGCGGCGACGGCGCGGGGAUGGCGGACCCGAGGAUGGCACCCGUCACGCGGUGGAUGGAGGCCAGCCCUGGAUGUACUCGUCUGGCAGGUCCUGUCCUUCUGGCCUCUCGGUUCCCACGACACUCAGUCUCAACGACCUGCACCUUCCCGCGCCUGGGCCCGAAGUGAGCAAAGUCAAUGAAAAGUUUCACCCUCAACCCCUCCCUGCCACGUCCUCAGCGGGGCUGCUCACCCUCGGAAUCCUUCUGAGCGCCUUAGCGCCGGAUUUCUUCUCUUAAGACUCCAAAGCAGUCUGAGCUCGCCAUGUUCCGGUGCAACGGCAGUCUCCGAACCCACGUGGGGCGGUGAGAUCGGAAAGUUUCCAGUUACGAACUGUGUGCGUUUUAUUUUCCUUGAUCACGUAGGCAAGAGCAGAGAUCAACGGAGGUAUAGAGAUUUAAAUACGCUUUCCUAGACAGGAGGAGAGAAAUGCCGGGCGGGAGGGCAAACUCCGCGGUGCCAGGAUGGCAGGAGGAAACCUAAGCGCGUGUGUCCCAUCCCCCACAAUCCGAGCUGGACAGCCCGGGGGCUUCUCCUGGGACUACUUGUGCGUCAGCAAGCGUCAUACAUGCCCCUCU